UACGUAGGGUGCGAGCGUUAAUCGGAAUUACUGGGCGUAAAGCGUGCGCAGGCGGCUUUGUAAGCCAGGUGUGAAAUCCCCGGGCUUAACCUGGGAAAUGCAUUUGGGACUGCAAGGCUUGAGUGCGGCAGAGGAGACUGGAAUUUCCGGUGUAGCAGUGAAAUGCGUAGAUAUCAGGAGGAACACCGAUGGCGAAGGC
rnacentral:rRNA from 1 species